UACGGAGGGGGCUAGCGUUGUUCGGAAUUAUUGGGCGUAAAGGGCGCGUAGGCGCUCAGCAAGUCGGGUGUGAAAUCCCUCGGCUUAACCGAGGAACGGCAUCCGAUACUGCCGAGCUUGAGUCCGGGAGAGGAGAGUGGAAUUCCCAGUGUAGCGGUGAAAUGCGUAGAUAUUGGGAGGAACACCGGUGGCGAAGGCGGCUCUCUGGACCGGUACUGACGCUGAGGCGCGAAAGCCAGGGGAGCAAACAGGAUUAGAUACCCCCGUA
rnacentral:rRNA from 1 species